rnacentral:rRNA from 1 species
AUUGAACGCUGGCGGCAUGCCUUAAACAUGCAAGUCGAACGGCAGCACGGGAGCAAUCCUGGUGGCGAGUGGCGAACGGGUGAGUAAAGUAUCGGAACGUGCCCAGUCGUGGGGGAUAACGUAGCGAAAGUUACGCUAAUACCGCAUACGAUCUAUGGAUGAAAGCGGGGGAUCGCAAGACCUCGCGCGAUAGGAGCGGCCGAUAUCAGAUUAGGUAGGUGGAGGGGUAAAGGCUCACCAAGCCGACGAUCUGUAGCUGAUCUGAGAGGACGACCAGCCACAUUGGGACUGAGACACGGCCCAGACUCCUACGGGAGUCAGCAGUGGUGAAUUUUGGACAAUGGGCGAAAGCCUGAUCCAGCCAUGCCGCGUGCAGGAUGAAGGCCUUCGGGUUGUAAACUGCUUUUGUACGGAACGAAAAGGUUUGACUUAAUACGUUGGACUCAUGACGGUACCGUAAGAAUAAGCACCGGCUAACUACGUGCCAGCCGCCGCGGUAA